rnacentral:rRNA from 1 species
CCUGGCUCAGGAUGAACGCUAGCUACAGGCUUAACACAUGCAAGUCGAGGGGCAGCAUGUUGGUGCUGCAACCAAUGAUGGCGACCGGCGCACGGGUGAGUAACGCGUAUCCAACCUUCCCCUUAGUAGAGGAUAGCCCGGCGAAAGUCGGAUUAAUACUCUAUGUUGUAUUUUGAUGACAUCUGACGAAUACCAAAGAUUUAUCGCUAAGGGAUGGGGAUGCGUCUGAUUAGGUUGCAGGCGGGGUAACGGCCCACCUGGCCUACGAUCAGUAGGGGUUCUGAGAGGAAGGUCCCCCACACUGGUACUGAGACACGGACCAGACUCCUACGGGAGGCAGCAGUGAGGAAUAUUGGUCAAUGGGCGCGAGCCUGAACCAGCCAAGUAGCGUGCAAGGACGACUGCCCUAUGGGUUGUAAACUGCUUUUAUCAGGGAAUAAAGUGAGGCACGCGUGCCUUUUUGUAUGUACCCGAUGAAUAAGGACCGGCUAAUUCCGUGCCAGCCGCAGC